rnacentral:rRNA from 1 species
UACGUAGGGGGCUAGCGUUAUCCGGAAUUACUGGGCGUAAAGGGUGCGUAGGCGGUCUUUCAAGCCAGAAGUGAAAGGCUACGGCUCAACCGUAGUAAGCUUUUGGAACUGUAAGACUUGAGUGCAGGAGAGGAGAGUGGAAUUCCUAGUGUAGCGGUGAAAUGCGUAGAUAUUAGGAGGAACACCAGUAGCGAAGGCGGCUCUCUGGACUGUAACUGACGUUGAGGCACGAAAGCGUGGGGAGCAAACAGGAUUAGAUACCCUGGUAGUCCCUGA